rnacentral:rRNA from 1 species
UACGGAGGGAGCUAGCGUUGUUCGGAAUUACUGGGCGUAAAGCGCACGUAGGCGGCUUUGUAAGUUAGAGGUGAAAGCCCGGGGCUCAACUCCGGAACUGCCUUUAAGACUGCAUCGCUUGAAUCCAGGAGAGGUGAGUGGAAUUCCGAGUGUAGAGGUGAAAUUCGUAGAUAUUCGGAAGAACACCAGUGGCGAAGGCGGCUCACUGGACUGGUAUUGACGCUGAGGUGCGAAAGCGUGGGGAGCGAACGGG